GAAGCCCUCUCCCCCGUAGGGUCCCAUUUAAAGCUUCCUAUUUCUGACAAGGACUUGGGAGAUGGAAAUACAGUGUGACGCCUUGUGUCUCCCAGGCUUUCAAAGACAGAGGAGAAGCACAAGCUUCUGGAAGCUUUAAGGUGAAGCACAGACUCACCAUGGUUAGCAUCCUGAUGGCUAUGCCCCUCUCCUUAAGAGACACAAGUUCACACAUUCUCCCCACCAGCUCAUCCCAAGCGUGUUCCUGGGGUGAACGGAGGAAGUGAUACUAGGAUAAGUGCACGCACCUGGAGUUCCUGGGUGCAAACAGCAGUGGGACCAGAGCUGCUUCCAACCGCCAUGGACAAAACACUGUAGAGUGUGAAGUCCCGGAAGUAGAUUAGAUAGGGAAGCCAAUUGAAAAUGCAACUAAGAUUUUGCUCUCACAAACCAAGUGCUCCCAGAAUAGAAACAAGAAAUAGAGAACGGCAAGGCGAUCACACGCAGGACAGCCCGCGGUGUCACUGUGAGCAUAAUUACUUUCAGAAAUCCAUCAUUUCUCUCCCUCUCAUUAUUAUUUAGCUGGAGAGAAAGAUGCUUUCUUGCCACGCUUUUUUCCCUGUGCUCCUUAAUCUGCUCUGCACGGCGAGUCUUGCAUAUUUAUUUCCCCGAUCGGUUUGUGGUGUUGUGCUGUUGCGCUGGAAUGGGAGAGGGCAUAUGGUCUGGUAGAAAUAGCAUAGGAUACACUCCCAAAGACUGCAGACAAUGGGAUGGACUUUGAACCACAUCUGUAUUCCCAGGGCCUGGGCAAACUUGUCUUUGCCUGGGGGAUCCCUUCCUGCUAUACUGGGGCCCUGCUAUUUGGGUAGCUAGGCUGACAGGUGCUUCAAAAGUCUUCCAUUCUCUCUCUCAUUCAGAAAUGAAAAUCUAAUUUAUCUGCAUGUAAAAAUGUACCAGAAAACCUGAAGGUGAGGCCUGCUGAGAGUCUUCCCAUCAGCAAAAUCGAUUUGAAGAGCUAGAAGCAUAAUGAGUCUUCAGUAGCUAGGUUUGAAACUAGAGCUCCCUCUGUCCUUCCAACAAGAGGCGCAUGCAGGAGUUUAUGUCUGUUGAAUGGGAAGGAUGCCGGCAUGGUGCUGUUUCUGAUGACCGUUCUGUAAGACAUUGUGAGCCUCCCGCUCUUUGUGCAGCUCUAGAGAGGGCUUACCCUACAUUAGAGUCUUUAAAGGAAGACUUCAGUCAUUCUUGUAUGGGCCCUUCCUCAGUCUGUCUGUCUUGUCUCUGUCUGUCUCUUCCUCUCCUUCCUCCUCCUCUCCCCACUCUGUGUGUGUGUGUCUGUUUGUGUGUGUGAAGGAGAGGUAGAUAGAUAGAUAGAUAGAUAGAUAGAUAGAUAGAUAGAUAGAUAGAUGGAUGGAUGGAUGGAUGGAUGGAUGGAUAGAUAGAUAGAUAGAUAGAUAGAUAGAUAGAUAGAUAGAUAGAUAGGUACAGUUGACUGAUGAAGGGCUGACUGAAUCUUGGUGACACAUAUUUAUCCAGACAUUUGUUAAGUGACAAGUAUAAAGCCAUUUGCGACUGUUUUUAAACACAUAUAAACCACCAAUGACAAGUGUAUCCAAAGGGGCAUGCACCUAGCUGUUGCUGGAAUUAGCUUUCUAUUUUCUUCAGCUAAACGGAUGCCAUCCCCGAAACGGUGGCCUUGAUCUCAUGAUCCGAAAGCACACCCACUAAAGCAGAAGAGACCUGUGAAGACUGGGUCACACUUAGCUCUUUGACCUACAGCUACAGUCUUCCCACCAGUAAAUUAAAGCUCCUUCCUCUUUGAUUUUGGCAGUAACAACAUGGUAAAGGCCUCAGAAGGAGUCAGGGACAUCUGGUGUUCUUGUGUAGUAGACUGAAAGGCUUCCAGAAGCCCAGUGCAGCUGCUCCACAGGGUCACAUGGUGUGGUACAUCGAUUCUGCUUUUCAGGAUGCAUCUGGGGUGCCCCAGCAAUUUUCCAAAAGCAAUGUGAUAAAAAAAAAAAAAAAAGAAUAAUUUCUGGUACGGAGGGGGUCCCUAAGACCCCUGCUCUCUGUUCUAAGUUACCGAGUAGAAAUUGUGACAAUACCUUUAUACACCCCAGUUUAUGACCCCAGAUUAGCUCUCUGCUGCUGUGAAGUGUGUGCAUGACAAAAUGGACCAAGAGUUCAGCAACUUCCGUGUACUGUGGAUGCCUGUCGUUGUCUUCUGCUGUUCCCUUAAAAUGACAAUGAAGGCCACGUGAGAACACAGUUCCCCUAUCCUCAUAGUCCCCGUGUCUCUCCAGGCAGAGAGUGUUGGUUGAAAAGACACUCCUGACCAGCCUCUUGUUAUAUUUAGGCUUCUGCAAACACAAGGUGCCGUACAAGGUGUCCGUCACUGUGAUUGAUUGAAUUAGUGGGUUAACGGUCAGACAGGUGGAAGGAAGCGUAGCUCUUUCACCUGUUCAUACCAGGCCACCUCGUUCUUAUGCAUGGCCCACUAGAAUCCUGGUGCUUCCCCCAUUCAAGAAUUUUAGGGCUGAUAGCACAAUUCAGUGGUUUAGCUCGUUCCCACAGCCUGGAUAUGAUCCCCAGCACUGGAAAACAUAAGUUUAAAGUUUUAAUUUGGUCAGAGAUGCUACAGUCAUGGUGAUGGGAACACAGUUAGAGAUGCUGCAGUCACAAUGGAGGGGACACUCACAGAGAUGCUGCAGUCACAAUGGUGGGGACAUUCAUGGUUAGAGAUGCUGCAGUCACAAUGGUGGGGACACUCAAGGUUAGAGAUGCUGCGGUCACAAUGGCGGGAAAUAUGCAGGCGCACGAGGCAGCCGUUCACAUUGCCUCAGCUGCCUGGAAGCAAGGAGAAGGAAACCUGAAAUGCUGGUUCAGUGAUGGAGCACUGGGCUACCGUGCACAGGGUGCAGAAUUUGAGCCCCAGUAUCACCAAAACAAAGGAGCAAACAAACCCAGCAGGCUGCGAGCUAACAGAUACCGCUUAGACCUGAUUUUGUAAGCCGAUUGCAGUGGUGGUAAAUAGCCAAAAUAAAUAAGCAAGUUAAUUAAGAAACAAAGAGUACCUGACUACAGGUAAUAGAAGCAGGACUGGUGGGACCAGUAGCUGAGUUAGUCUUGUUCAAUAGUAACCAAGGUACGGUUGUUCAAUAGCGCCUCCUAGUGGGCGACAGAACUGUACGGCCUAGUGAAACCCACAACUUCCUUUCUUCAAGAGCUUGAGAACCCACGUUUUACCUUGUGUUUAAAAUGCUCCCCAUUACUCAAACUACUUCAGAAUUCAUCUUCUUGUUCCCAUUGCAAGUGUGAACCAUGGAGCAUGAUGGGAAGCUCACCGGGCAUUUAUGGGAGGCCUUGAGAACACAGUUGGCAACUAUCAGAAUAAAUUCCAAACCGCUGAUUUAAGUACUGACCACUCAAACUAAACUCAUUCACGAGGGACUGCUUUAGAAAAGAUGUUCACACAUUUUAUAGAUAGUGCUGACACAGGGCAAAUCAAAUGCUGUGCCAGGUAGUUCGUUUGUUUGUUCCUUGUAUAUAAGUGACCACUAGACCCCACCCCACCCCUCAGGGCCCUUGAUCAGUAUUGCAGUGUUUGUGAGUUAAUUUGCGUUGCAGUAUUCAAAUGAGAGCAUCUACUAGAAGCAACAAAUGCACAGAAAAAAAUUUUUAAAUGGUGUGUCACAUGAUAAAUUCUAGUUUUCACCAAUCUAACAAUAAAAAAUAUCCAGCAGAAUUAAAACAAAUAUUAAAUGAUGGAUGCUUGGUUUCUAUAGAACCAAAGUCAUUCCUGAGGGCUGGAGAGAUGGCUCAGCAAUUAGAACGUUGACUGCUCUUCCAGAGGUCUUGAGUUCAAGUCCCAGCAACUACAUGGUCUCUCAUAACAAUCUGUAGUGGGAUCCAAUGCCCUCCUCUGGUUUUCUUAAAGUCAUUCUUAUAAAAGAGUGCCAAGCUGAUUUAGGAAGCCCUUCCGGCGUAUUCUCUGCCACGGUUGGGGCUGUGUAACCUGAACAUUCUCACCGUGUGACCUUUGAGGUUUGUCUCACGGAGACCUAAAGUCUCAUACAGUGUGCUUUCUCGAUCCUUGUUCGACCUCCAGUUCACACAGUCCUCUCAUAGUCCUGGAUAGUCCACAGUGCCUCAAGUGUAGUGACGGAGACCAUCCCUAUCUGAACUACAGGCUAGAGAGAGCUCACUGUCCAGAAUCCCUCCUUCCUCGGGAAUGCUGCUACUUGGGUGAUCAAGUCAAAGAUCUCCCUGCUGGUCAUUUCUAUUCUUCCUUCUCCACACCUUCUGUGUCCAUCAAAAAGAGAAUAUAUCAUAGUGAUUAACUAAAGGCUGUUAGGAGACAGCCUCAUUUAGUAAUGGUAUGGCCACGGCAAGGUAUGCCACCUCAGCCUCGCCCAUCUGUAUAGUGUGCAUAAAUAUCGCCUGCCUUAAAGGGUUGUUGUAAGACUUAGUCAAGGCAAGAUCCACAGUCCUUAACAUACACUGAACAUUUGGUAAUGAUCUAUCGUGAGGCGUGACUUUGGAAAGCCGUGACUUUAGAUUUCUCAGUAAUCUCUACAGCUGGAAAAGGAGGGAAGCUUGCAGGAAGUCAGAAGACGAGAGGGGUGUGUGUGCAUGGGGGUGUGGGGUGGGGUGAGUCAAGUGGGCAAAGCGAAUGGGCAAGACUGAGGGAAGAAAACAGGGAGGGGUCAUCUUAGUGCAUCAGUCACAGCUGAUCUGUGAUUGUGGGCUCUUCUGCCUCGAAGACUUGCCACUUCUGUAUGUCUGCCUUAGGAAAGGGGAAGCACUGUCUUCUGGUGAACUUCACGUUUCUCGAGGGAGGAUGUUAACGGGAAACACUGCCACAUUGGCAUGCCUGAUCAGAGGAUAACAAGCACAUAUCAUCCCAGUCAGUAGGCAUUUGCUUAAACAGUCUGAAUUCUUACCAGAAAUAUCCACGAGUUAGGACUUUGAAAUGAAGUCCACCACUGAGAUUUGACUUGGGGCCAGUUCCCCUUAACUGGUGCUGAAUUUUGGGUCUUGUACUAUGCCUGCUAUUUAAUAGAUCAUGCAUGUCCAAAUAUUUUUUAUUAUUAUUAUUUGAAUUAAAGGGAGACAUGGUUUCUGUCUUGCCAGUUUGUUUUUCAAAGCCACGCAUCCGUCAGAAUGUUAUAAUGCACUGUUAGCCUUUCUCCAGCAGGAGGCAGCAUUGCUCUAUUUUCUCCAGGAGAUAAUCAUGGUUUCCAGUCAAAACUCUGCAGAACCAAGGAGUCCCUCUUACUGUCUGAACAUGGCCUGUGUCUCCACACCAGUCUCAGGACCAGUGGUCAACAUCCAGUCCUGGAAUCCAUGUGCUGCCCCGCCUGCUCCCUAGUCUGACCAGAAAGGCUCUCGCUUCCUUUCAGUGCACAGGAGCAAUUCCAAGUCCUGAGCUUCUCCACCUAAAGGUCUUCUCCCUUGAUGUCCUUCCAGCUUUCCUGCCUGCACCCAUUACUUGUCCCUGGCCCUGUGUGCCUGGCAGUGACUUCUGGGAUUUCCCUCUCCCUCUCUAGAUGACAGCCAAUGACCUCCAGGAUUCCCUAUCUGUUCCCAUCCCUCCCUGGCCUGGCCUUGAACUGCCUCUCUCCCCAGGCAUGGUCCUCUAGAAACCCUGGAAUCCUCUUCUUGGACCACUUUCUUCUAACAUAUCCUCCACCCCCUGGGCCUUUUUCUCUUCUGGGCCCCAAUAUUCCCUUGUGGAGAAGCCCAAAUGCACACCCGCCAUGCCUUCCUGAUUUGCACAGUGUUCCCAGACCAGGUUGGGGGAAGUCUCCCCAUUUAUGAGUGGUUUCCCCUAAUGAGAGCUGUCUAAUGACAUCGUGGGAGUGGAGGAGAUAGCCUCCAUCUGUGCUCAGAGGCUAUUUUCCUCUGCUUUAGAAUGUGAUGGCUUCCACCCCAAGUAGUUUUCAGUCAGGCCAACAGUAGCAUACUUUGCACUGCAUGAAAUUAUGACUAAGGGGUGGGUCUACGCCUCACAUGUUAAAAUUGUGUACCUUUUCCACAUUUUACAGAGCUAGCCCACUUCUAAAGCAGGAGCCAAUGUUAGACCUGAUCCUGGAGGUACACUUCUAAAGCACAGCCAAGGUUAGACCUGAUCCUGGAGGUACACUUCUAAAGCACAGCCAAGGUUAGACCUGAUCCUGGAGGUAGACAGCUGAUAUGUAUAAGGCCUUCCUAGUCUUCUGCCAUUCAUGGCCUACACCACAAGGCCUCUGUCCUCCCAGGUCUCGGUGUAGUAAUGCAGACAGGGCUCUUGACAAAGAACUUAAGGACUGUCUUUGCACUCUGGGCUGUGGCUUUAUCCACUUCACAAGCUCUGCCUAGAGAUCCAGGCUCAGAGAAAUGGAGGAGAAGGGGCACACAGCCCAGGCGAGGGGUGGCUUCAGCCCUCGAGCCCGUUUUUGUCUGACUCAGCGCUGUACAGCCGAAUGUUCUGUUUUUUUUUUUUUUUUUCUAGCCAACUCUUUUUAAAGUAGACAUAUCAUUUCUCGGUCUAUGUUUUUGUAGGCUCUCAGAAGUUUCUGUCAGGCUGUGAUGCCCUACUUUGUCUAGUGUUACAAAGCCGUCUAGUGCUGAACUGUAAGAGGGUACAAUAAAAAAAAAAAAGUCAGACACUGGCAUUACCGUCUGCUGUGUGGUGCCUAGGGCAUCCAUCUCUCCCCCACAAACCCACAGAGGAAUCCAGCACGACCCUGAUGGCGAGAAGACAGUGGGAGCUUAGGAUGCUCGCCUCCACGCUCUGCUUGGCAAAGCAGACCUGACUGGAACAGUGUGUCAAAGCACAGAUUCCUGGAGUCUUACCUUGUGGUUUCUAACUAUUCAUUAAAGUGGUACUAAGACCCUUCGAUGAGACCCGAUGUUACCAAAAAGAUGUGUACUAGAAAUGAGCCUUUACUGUUCCCAUCUCCCUUCAAGACUUGAGCGCAGCUGCAUGGUGUCCUCUCACCACCAUGUUACUUAUCGCUGCUGUACACAGGCUACCACAUCUUGAGUGAUUUCCAUGAGACAUUAUUUAGUUCUUUUAUUCCAUCACCCUUUCCUCUACUUCUACCCCCACCCCCCGCUCUCCUAAUAGGACAGGCAUUUUGACUUCACAGUCCCAUCUAUUACGUCACUGCAGAGGUUUGCCGACGACCCAUGCUGUAUCUCGUAGUUACUCACUAGUGUAUCACAGUCAUGUCUGAAUUCUAGCACCAGAUAUUGCUUUUUCUGGAAUUAAUUAAUGCCUUUCUCUAAAAUAAAAUACUUAGCUUUAUUUUUACUUAUCAAAUCUUGAUGUUGCAUCAAUAUUAUUUCAGUAUUAUCAGAUGUUUGUUCUCCCUCCCCCUGCACUCCUACCAGAUCUCCGGUCUCCCAUUUCCCAUGGACCCUGUCCUUGAUGCGGUAUGUGUCCCUGCAUUACCUCCUAACACAAGGUGCAGGGGUGGAGUUGGACUCCAUGUUUUGCUACUAAACAGAAUACCACAGACUGGGUAAAUUAUGAAAACUACAGGUUUACUGAGCUUGUGGUUCUAGAGGGUUGGAAGUCCUAGGUAGCGAGGCCAUGUCUGUGUGAGGGACACC